rnacentral:rRNA from 1 species
AUUGAACGCUGGCGGCAGGCCUAACACAUGCAAGUCGAGCGGAUGAAGGGAGUUUGCUCCUGGAUUCAUCGGUGGACGGGUGAGUAAUGCCUAUGAAUCUGCCUUGUAGUGGGGGAUAACGUUCGGACACGGGCGCUAAUACCGCAUACGUCCUGAGGUCGAAAGUGGGGGAUCUUCGGACCUCACGCUAUCAGAUGAGCCUAGGUCGGAUUAUCUAGUUGGUGACGUAAAGGCCUACCAAGGCGACGAUCAGUAACUCGUCGGAAAGGAUGACCAGUCACAUUGGAAGUGAGACAGAGUACAGACUCAUAAGGGAGGCCGCGGUGGGGAAUAUUGGACGAGGCAGGAAAGCGUGAUCCAGCCACGUGGCGGGUGUGAAGAACCUCUUCGGAAUGUAAAGCACUUUAAGUUGGGAGGAAGUGAAGUAAGUUAAUCCGUUGAUGUUUUGACGUUACCAGCAGAAUAAGCCCCGGCUAACUUCGUG